rnacentral:rRNA from 1 species
CGCCGAAGUUCCUCCGAUGACUCGGCGGGCAGCUUCCGGGAAACCAGAGCUUUUGGGUUCCGGGGGAAGUAUGGUUGCAAAGCUGAAACUUAAAGGAAUUGACGGAAGGGCACCACCAGGAGUGGAGCCUGCGGCUUAAUUUGACUCAACACGGGAAAACUCACCAGGCCCGGACACCGGAAGGAUUGACAGAUUGAGAGCUCUUUCUUGAUUCGGUGGGUGGUGGUGCAUGGCCGUUCUUAGUUGGUGGAGCGAUUUGUCUGGUUAAUUCCGAUAACGAACGAGACUCUAGCCUACUAACUAGGCGUACCCGGUAUCCACAAUCGUGCUACCGGCGAUCAUAUUUCUUCUUAGAGGGACAGGCGGCUUCUAGCCGCACGAGACUGAGCAAUAACAGGUCUGUGAUGCCCUUAGAUGUCCUGGGCCGCACGCGCGCUACACUGAAGGAAUCAGCGUGUCUUCCCUGUCCGAAAGGACCGGGUAACCCGCUGAACCUCCUUUGUGCUAGGGAUUGGGGCUUGCAAUUGUUCCCCAUGAACGAGGAAUUCCCAGUAAGCGCGAGUCAUAAGCUCGCGUUGAUUACGUCCCUGCCCUUUGUACACACCGCCCGUCGCUACUACCGAUUGAAUGAUUUAGUGAGGUCUUCGGACUGGUGCGCGGAGGCGCUCUCGCGGUCCCCGAUGUUGCCCGAAAAAAUACCAAACUUGGUCAUUUUAAAGAAAAAAAGUCGUAACAAGGGUU